rnacentral:misc_RNA from 1 species
AAGUCGUAACAAGGUAACCGUAGGUGAACCUGCGGUUGGAUCAUUAACAAAAGUGCCAAGGUUUUGCCUUGAGCUAAGGGAAGAGUCGCAAGACUUGGACCACAACCUUUUGUGAACAGUUUAUUGUCUCUGGCAGAAAGGAAAGGAUAGCAAAGCUAAAGGGGAAGUAUGAACCUUUAGCCGACCUGUCUUUGCCUGCCUGUCAGUAAUCAACCUUGAGUAUUAUCUAGUCUUAACUACUUGAAAAAGUAAACAACUUUUGACAAUGGAUCUCUUGGCUCUU